UCCCUUUUCCCCGUUCUUGACGUCAUUCACGCAUUCACACAAUGUAAGUGGAUGAGUUGGUGGAAACUGAGAAGCUAUGCACUGCAAACUAGCACGAGCGCCCGAAAAGACGACGAACGAGAAAAAAUAUAUACACGCG
ensembl:ncRNA F28C1.13 ncRNA